rnacentral:rRNA from 1 species
UACAGAGGGUGCAAGCGUUACUCGGAAUUACUGGGCGUAAAGGGUGCGUAGGUGGUUUUUUAAGUCCGUUGUGAAAUCCCUGGGCUCAACCUGGGAAUGGCAGUGGAUACUGGAAAGCUAGAGUGCGGUAGAGGGUAGUGGAAUUCCCGGUGUAGCAGUGAAAUGCGUAGAGAUCGGGAGGAACACCAGUGGCGAAGGCGGCUACCUGGACCAUAACUGACGCUGAUGCGCGAAAGCUAGGGGAGCAAACAGG